GGGUUGUGAGGUUAAGCGACUAAGCGUACACGGUGGAUGCCCUGGCAGUCAGAGGCGAUGAAGGACGUGCUAAUCUGCGAUAAGCGCCGGUAAGGUGAUAUGAACCGUUAUAACCGGCGAUUUCCGAAUGGGGAAACCCAGUGUGAUUCGUCACACUAUCAUUAACUGAAUCCAUAGGUUAAUGAGGCGAACCGGGGGAACUGAAACAUCUAAGUACCCCGAGGAAAAGAAAUCAACCGAGAUUCCCCCAGUAGCGGCGAGCGAACGGGGAGGAGCCCAGAGCCUGAAUCAGCAUGUGUGUUAGUGGAAGCGUCUGGAAAGGCGCGCGAUACAGGGUGACAGCCCCGUACACAAAAGCGCAUGUGCUGUGAGCUCGAUGAGUAGGGCGGGACACGUGGUAUCCUGUCUGAAUAUGGGGGGACCAUCCUCCAAGGCUAAAUACUCCUGACUGACCGAUAGUGAACCAGUACCGUGAGGGAAAGGCGAAAAGAACCCCGGCGAGGGGAGUGAAAAAGAACCUGAAACCGUGUACGUACAAGCAGUGGGAGCCCCACCACCAAAGCAUUCUCUGGUGUUGAAGGCCCUGCAAAGCAGCAUCGCGGUGGCGGAGCGUCGUUUGCGACGCCCAACACACAAAACAAGCGGUGAGUGCUUUGGGGUGGGGUGACUGCGUACCUUUUGUAUAAUGGGUCAGCGACUUAUAUUCUGUAGCAAGGUUAACCGAAUAGGGGAGCCGUAGGGAAACCGAGUCUUAACCGGGCGUUAAGUUGCAGGGUAUAGACCCGAAACCCGGUGAUCUAGCCAUGGGCAGGUUGAAGGUUGGGUAACACUAACUGGAGGACCGAACCGACUAAUGUUGAAAAAUUAGCGGAUGACCUGUGGCUGGGGGUGAAAGGCCAAUCAAACCGGGAGAUAGCUGGUUCUCCCCGAAAGCUAUUUAGGUAGCGCCUCGUGAAUUCAUCUCCGGGGGUAGAGCACUGUUUCGGCUAGGGGGCCAUCCCGGCUUACCAACCCGAUGCAAACUGCGAAUACCGGAGAAUGUUAUCACGGGAGACACACGGCGGGUGCUAACGUCCGUCGUGAAGAGGGAAACAACCCAGACCGCCAGCUAAGGUCCCAAAGUCAUGGUUAAGUGGGAAACGAUGUGGGAAGGCCCAGACAGCCAGGAUGUUGGCUUAGAAGCAGCCAUCAUUUAAAGAAAGCGUAAUAGCUCACUGGUCGAGUCGGCCUGCGCGGAAGAUGUAACGGGGCUAAACCAUGCACCGAAGCUGCGGCAGCGACGCUGAUGCGUUGUUGGGUAGGGGAGCGUUCUGUAAGCCUGUGAAGGUGGCCUGUGAGGGUUGCUGGAGGUAUCAGAAGUGCGAAUGCUGACAUAAGUAACGAUAAAGCGGGUGAAAAGCCCGCUCGCCGGAAGACCAAGGGUUCCUGUCCAACGUUAAUCGGGGCAGGGUGAGUCGACCCCUAAGGCGAGGCCGAAAGGCGUAGUCGAUGGGAAACGGGUUAAUAUUCCCGUACUUGGUGUUACUGCGAAGGGGGGACGGAGAAGGCUAUGUUGGCCGGGCGACGGUUGUCCCGGUUUAAGCGUGUAGGUGUGUGUUCCAGGUAAAUCCGGUUCACUUUAACACUGAGGCGUGAUGACGAGGCACUACGGUGCUGAAGCAACAAAUGCCCUGCUUCCAGGAAAAGCCUCUAAGCAUCAGGUAACAUCAAAUCGUACCCCAAACCGACACAGGUGGUCAGGUAGAGAAUACCAAGGCGCUUGAGAGAACUCGGGUGAAGGAACUAGGCAAAAUGGUGCCGUAACUUCGGGAGAAGGCACGCUGACACGUAGGUGAAGUGAUUUACUCAUGGAGCUGAAGUCAGUCGAAGAUACCAGCUGGCUGCAACUGUUUAUUAAAAACACAGCACUGUGCAAACACGAAAGUGGACGUAUACGGUGUGACGCCUGCCCGGUGCCGGAAGGUUAAUUGAUGGGGUCAGCGCAAGCGAAGCUCCUGAUCGAAGCCCCGGUAAACGGCGGCCGUAACUAUAACGGUCCUAAGGUAGCGAAAUUCCUUGUCGGGUAAGUUCCGACCUGCACGAAUGGCGUAAUGAUGGCCAGGCUGUCUCCACCCGAGACUCAGUGAAAUUGAACUCGCUGUGAAGAUGCAGUGUACCCGCGGCAAGACGGAAAGACCCCGUGAACCUUUACUAUAGCUUGACACUGAACAUUGAGCCUUGAUGUGUAGGAUAGGUGGGAGGCUUUGAAGCGUGGACGCCAGUCUGCAUGGAGCCGGCCUUGAAAUACCACCCUUUAAUGUUUGAUGUUCUAACGUGGACCCGUGAUCCGGGUUGCGGACAGUGUCUGGUGGGUAGUUUGACUGGGGCGGUCUCCUCCUAAAGAGUAACGGAGGAGCACGAAGGUUGGCUAAUCCUGGUCGGACAUCAGGAGGUUAGUGCAAUGGCAUAAGCCAGCUUGACUGCGAGCGUGACGGCGCGAGCAGGUGCGAAAGCAGGUCAUAGUGAUCCGGUGGUUCUGAAUGGAAGGGCCAUCGCUCAACGGAUAAAAGGUACUCCGGGGAUAACAGGCUGAUACCGCCCAAGAGUUCAUAUCGACGGCGGUGUUUGGCACCUCGAUGUCGGCUCAUCACAUCCUGGGGCUGAAGUAGGUCCCAAGGGUAUGGCUGUUCGCCAUUUAAAGUGGUACGCGAGCUGGGUUUAGAACGUCGUGAGACAGUUCGGUCCCUAUCUGCCGUGGGCGCUGGAGAACUGAGGGGGGCUGCUCCUAGUACGAGAGGACCGGAGUGGACGCAUCACUGGUGUUCGGGUUGUCAUGCCAAUGGCACUGCCCGGUAGCUAAAUGCGGAAGAGAUAAGUGCUGAAAGCAUCUAAGCACGAAACUUGCCCCGAGAUGAGUUCUCCCUGAGACUUAGAGUCUCCUGAAGGAACGUUGAAGACGACGACGUUGAUAGGCCGGGUGUGUAAGCGCAGCGAUGCGUUGAGCUAACCGGUACUAAUGAACCGUGAGGCUUAACCUUACAACGCCGAAG
rnacentral:rRNA from 2 species